GUCAAAAUGAUGGAAUUGGUAGACAUGAUCCGCUUAAGUUGGAUUGCUUUUUUGCAUAUAGGUUCGAGUCCUAUUUUUGAUA
rfam:Yarrowia lipolytica complete mitochondrial genome, strain W29